rnacentral:rRNA from 1 species
GACGAACGCUGGCGGCGUGCUUAACACAUGCAGGUCGAACGGAAAGGCCCUGCUUUUGUGGGGUGCUCGAGUGGCGAACGGGUGAGUAACACGUGAGUAACCUGCCCUUGACUUUGGGAUAACUUCAGGAAACUGGGGCUAAUACCGGAUAGGAGCUCCUGCUGCAUGGUGGGGGUUGGAAAGUUUCGGCGGUUGGGGAUGGACUCGCGGCUUAUCAGCUUGUUGGUGGGGUAGUGGCUUACCAAGGCUUUGACGGGUAGCCGGCCUGAGAGGGUGACCGGCCACAUUGGGACUGAGAUACGGCCCAGACUCCUACGGGAGGCAGCAGUGGGGAAUAUUGCACAAUGGGCGGAAGCCUGAUGCAGCAACGCCGCGUGCGGGAUGACGGCCUUCGGGUUGUAAACCGCUUUCGCCUGUGACGAAGCGUGAGUGACGGUAAUGGGUAAAGAAGCACCGGCUAACUACGUGCCAGCAGCCGCGGUGAUACGUAGGGUGCGAGCGUUGUCCGGAUUUAUUGGGCGUAAAGGGCUCGUAGGUGGUUGAUCGCGUCGGAAGUGUAAUCUUGGGGCUUAACCCUGAGCGUGCUUUCGAUUCGGGUUGACUUGAGGAAGGUAGGGGAGAAUGGAAUUCCUGGUGGAGCGGUGGUAUGCGCAGAUAUCAGGAGGAACACCAGUGGCGAAGGCGGUUCUCUGGGCCUUUCCUGACGCUGAGGAGCGAAAGCGUGGGGAGCGAACAGGCUUAGAUACCCUGGUAGUCCACGCUGUAA